rnacentral:tRNA from 1 species
GGCCUGGUAGUUCAGUUUGGUUAGAAUGCCGCCCUGUCACGGCGGAGGUCGACGGUUCGAGCCCGUUCCAGGUCGCCA